rnacentral:misc_RNA from 1 species
UUCAAAGGCGUUUGUCCUUCAACAGGAGAUAUUCGUUACACAGCAGACAAAUUAUCCACAAGAAUGAUUUAACCUAGCAAACACUAGC